GGGAAAGCGGGGGAGGCUGAGCUUUGGGGCCCUAGGGCUGAGCCGGGGAUAAAAAUGGCCCAGGGGACUCUCUGCUGGGGUUACGUAGAGUUUGGGGGCCUAGGAGGGCAGUGUUAAAAAAUGCCUCUGCCCCUGCUUCAACAACAAAGGAUACUACCUGCUCCAGACUGUACAGCUACUAGACGGGGACACCAUCUGCAACAACCUGGAUGCCUGAGAAACCUUGUGGAUCAGAACUCCCUCCCCCGCCUCCACCCUUAGCCUGUGUUUGUAAAUGUGGUUUUAUUGGAACAUAGCCACACCGGUUCACUUAUGUAUUGUCUGUGGCUGCUUUGUGGGCUGUAGCAGCAGAGGUGACUAGUUGUGACAGAAACCUUAGGGCCCAAAAGCCUAAAAUAUUUAUUCCCUCGCUAUGUUCAGAAAAAUUCUGUUGACCUAGGUUCUAGAUUGCCGAGAUCCUUUUGAAACUUCUCUUGAUUCUUUGAUCCACAGUUAUCAUUCAUUAUCUCUUUCACUGAGUCAGCCACAGAUCUGUCUCCAUUCAAGCUGUUCACAGAAAUGUUUAAUGAGACACAGGGAAGGCGAGGCCCAAGGCACACCACAAGAGACCACCUUCAUGGUUGACAGUGAUUACCAUUCCCUGGACUCAGUUAUCUGAAGAAGUAUGAACCCACUAAAUGAUACUAUCAGUCAGUUCUCAUUUAUCAAAAAUGUUGUGCAUUUCUUCUAAUAGCAGAAGAAGAUGAGGUAUAGACCCCCUCUUUUUUCCCCUCCCAAGUGGUUUCAAACCUAUGUUGUUUCUAUAUCCUUCAACUCCAUUUCAACCCCAUGUUUUGAAAUUUGAAUUAUUUUUCUAGCUACAUUUUUCUGGCAGAUCUCCUAUUAUCUGUGUAGAGAUUGGUUAGCUGUCAUCAAACCCGAUUAUUGUUCUUCCUGGGCACACUACAUUUCCCAGCUUUCUUUUUGAUCAGGGGGUGGCCAAGUGACAAAGUUCUAGCCAGUGGGAGGCUUGAAAAAGUCAUGUGUGCUACUUCCAGGUCUGGCCCAUAAGAGCAUCCCAUUGGUAACCCUCCGUGGUCUUUUCCUUUUCAUAGCCUGGAAGCAGAUGAGCAUGGAGACCUGAAUUUAUUAAAGAUGGCAAAGCCACAGCUAGAAAGAACCUGGGUCCCUGAAUCCAUCCUUAGAGGGGAGCCACACACACCACUCAAGAACAUUUUGGACUUGAAUGUGAAAUAAAUUUCUAUGGUAUUUAAA